UUUUCUGUGUAAUUAAAACGAAAGUGAAGUUCUAAGUGUACAGCACUCAAAUGCUUUAAUUUGUUUUUGUCAGUGCACUCAAAUAGUUUUACUAUACUCCCGUCUGACGUCACCCACGUGCGUACGUGCUCCUCCCUCUAGUAGCAGUUGCAAGUUCGCGAAAACACGCCAUGUUUUUGUUGCUUCCCUGACUCGCUUCUGAUGACAAUUUGAUAAAUCUAAGUUUGCAACACGUGAAUAACUCGAUCUUAUUUUAUAAAAAUAGCAUAGGAGGAGAUCUUUUUCGAUCGGGAAUUUGCUGCGGUGUUGUCUGUGAGGACCUUUGAUGAGAAAAGUGCCAUGCAAUUUUCUGAACCAGCUGGUGACAAGAUUUUCUUCGUUGUGCUGCCAUCCAUUUUAUUCCUCUUCUUUUUGGGCACGCUAAUCUGGUAAGUUCCUGGUUUUAUUUUCUGCAAAGUUUUAGUGUCUUAGCAGUUAAUGUAAUUUAUGCAUUUUCAAAGCGAGUAACAAUGUCUCGAGACAUUUUAUCCUGCCUCACUAAAAGUAAAAUGGAUUGAAUUGUAUUUCGUGUUUAAAAAUAUAUAAAUCUAUCAAAGUCUGUCUUUUUGCAUCCGUUAAUGCAUCGGUUUUCACAUUAAAACAUUUUCGGGCAACACAUUUUAAUGACCUCAAAAUGGCGGGCUGUGAAUUGGCACGCAUGAAUAGACAACUAACGUUAGUGGUUUUCAUAGAGGUUAGACAAUAAUUUGAUGCACUGUGUUCCAUGUGUUGGAAAAAAAUUGUAAGGAAAGGUAUUUAUAAAUUCUAUUUAAAUAGUUUGGCCAAGCCACACCAGUAGCUUGUGUUAUUUAGCAGAGACAUUUUUGUUCUUGCUUAAAAUUUGACAUUUCAAAAAGCAAAUUUUAAGUUCCUGCUGCAAAGUUUUAGUGUCUUAGCAGUUAAUGUAUUUUAUGCAUUUGAGUAAGAAUGUCUCGAGACAUUUUAUCCUGCCUCACUAAAGGUAAAAUGGAUUGAAUUGUAUUUCGUGUUUAAAAAUAUAUCAAAGUCUGUCUUUUUGCAUCAGCAUCGGUUUUCACAUUAAAUCGUUUUCGGGCAACACAUUUUAACGACCUCAAAAUGGCGGGCUGUGAAUUGGCACGCAUGAAUAGACAACUAGUGGUUUUCAUAGAGGUUUGACAAUAAUUUGAUGCACUUUGUUCCAUGUGUUGUAAAAAUUUUUUGUAAGGAAAGGUAUUUAUUGCCCAAGCCACACCAGUAGCUUGUGUUAUUUAGCGGAGACAUUUUUGUUCUUGCUUAAAAUUUGACAUUUCAAAAAGCAAAUUGUGCAGUUUAAAAAAAAUAUUUAAAGGUUUGUUUGACUGAGCAUAAUGCCUAAUAAGUUACAUAACUGAUUUAGCAUUGUGUGUAUUCACAUAUUUUUCCUAGUAUUUUGGCAAAUAUUACAACCUAACUAAGUUCUCAAUCUCUCUGAGCUUGUUCAGAAAGAAAGCUGCUCGCACAGGGAAAGUGUCUGAAGUACUGAGUCAGCUCUUCAGGAUAUAUGACCUCCAGGAAAACGUGGACGUCCAUGUACGACAAGCUGCCGUCCUCCGUGCUCUCCCCACCUAUCUACAAGAGGACGACUCCAACUUUCUCAAGACGUGGGAUGUUGAGCAAUCUGAUGAACCAGACAUUGAUGCAGUACCACUUGGUCUCCUCUCCAUUAGUGGCAAUUCAUCAGAUGCCACGUUCUUCUGCCCAGAGAAGAUUGCAGUUGUACUUGAGGGUACCAUGGUUAUUGAUUUUUCCACAUUGGCUGAUGCAUUUGCCAUGCUUUUUGGGCUAACUUACGCCAUGGACCUAAGUUACCCAAAAGAACUGGUGAACACAUUUAACUUCACCCAGAAAGUCCUGAUGGGUCUGGAGGAUGGGAAGCUAAGGCCCAGAGCUGGGUGAUAUCCAGAUAUCCAUAUUGUCCACUUCUAAAAGUGAUUGUUAUCUCAGCCCAUUUCUCAAGGGCCUUGCACUGUAUAGAAGUAUUUCCAUUUGACAGACAUGUUUUGAUGUUGAUGCUUUGUGAUUACUUAAUAAAAGAGUAACUCGCA